rnacentral:lncRNA from 1 species
CUCUCAGUACUGCUCAGUCAUUAAAGAAGUGACCCUGAAAAGUGUUGGCUGAGGACGAGGUUUGCUGUUGCUUCCUGCACGAGUGGCUUCAGCAUGUGCUUCACACCACAGUGGGCUGCACUGUCGCCCCAGGCCUGCAGCAAAGUAGGGGACACUCAGCUGCUCAGGGAUGGGUUGCUCACCUUCCUUGGCCCUGCCCUGCAGCAGUGGGGAACAGUAGCACACCACACUUCUCUAAAUACCAUGUCCAGGAUACGCUGACCUCAUGGACCUGCCUGGCAGGAGACACCUCAGUGAAGAAAGGACUCACGGAUAACUGGCAGAGCCUGGGAGAGCAGAACAAGGCAGGACCUUCCUGCAGCCUUCUGCUGCUCCCCAGUGGCGGCGUGGAGAGGCACCACGGGCGGUUCCUGAAGGGGGAAGCCAGAACGGGAGACGGUGAAGGAACUGUCGCAUCUCUAAGUGGAGGUCGUGAUUUCUUUCUCCAUCUUCCCCAGAACUCACAGUUAAUUCUCAGCGGGCAGGGGAACAGUAGGGUGACAAGGAUGUGGGGGAGAUAUAAUCACAAGCCUAGAGUUUUUUGAAAAGAAGCAAACACUUUUGGAACCUUUGAGGACAGCAGACAAUACUUUGUGGGUUUAUUUCUCCAAAUCAGUGAAAGCAUAAAACUGUCUCGAUUUCCUUAUCCUGAUAAUUCACUUGCUUCUUAAAAUGAUCUUCCUCCCCGGUUGUGUUCUGAAAUAAAAAGCAUGAAGACAAACA